rnacentral:rRNA from 1 species
CCCUUAGAUGUUCUGGGCCGCACGCGCGCUACACUGAUGCAUUCAACGAGCCUAUCCUUGACCGACAGGUCCGGGUAAUCUUUGAAUCUGCAUCGUGACGGGGAUAGAUUAUUGCAAUUAUUAAUCUUCAACGAGGAAUGCCUAGUAGGCGCAAGUCAUCAGCUUGCGUCGAUUACGUCCCUGCCCUUUGUACACACCGCCCGUCGCUCCUACCGAUUGGGUGUGCUGGUGAAAUGUUCGGAUCGGCCGUUUGUCGCGGUUUCCGCGUCAUGUGGCUGAGAAGUUCAUUAAACCCUCCCACCUAGAGGAAGGAGAAGUCGUAACA